rnacentral:rRNA from 1 species
UUAUUUUACCAGGUGGACCUCGGAUCAGGUAGGGAUACCCGCUGAACUUAA